rnacentral:misc_RNA from 1 species
GACGAAACAUAUUUUUGCAGGGGUAGUCAAAAUAAUGGCUUUGUGAUUGGAUCACCUUCUAUGGCGAAAACAAUUUAAUUUAAGCCAUCAAUGAGCAGAUCUAUCCGCAUCACCGACGAUGACGGUGCUGCAAGUAGUCCCCAGCAUGUCUAAACUUGGUUGUUUUACAAUGAGCAUUUUGGGAACGUCGAUUCUCCAUUUUUUAUUUGGAGAUGUAGUUUUUAAACUCAAUUCAGCAGGUUUGUGUAUGGUAGUGAGCUCUGUACAGUAACCGAAUGGUAGUAUUCUUUUGCAAGAUAAUACAAAUGAUAAACCUUGUGUUUACUCUUGUAAAGAUAUUCUGGCAAUGAAAUUUUAAUCUUAC